rnacentral:rRNA from 1 species
GAUGAACGCUGGCGGCGUGCCUAAUACAUGCAAGUCGAGCGAAUGGAUUAAGAGCUUGCUCUUAUGAAGUUAGCGGCGGACGGGUGAGUAACACGUGGGUAACCUGCCCAUAAGACUGGGAUAACUCCGGGAAACCGGGGCUAACACCGGAUAACAUUUUGAACCGCAUGGUUCGAAAUUGAAAGGCGGCAUUGGCAGUCACUAAUGGAUGGACCCGCGUCGCAUUAGCUAGUUGGUGAGGUAACGGCUCACCAAGGCAACGAUGCGUAGCCGACCUGAGAGGGUGAUCGGCCACACUGGGACUGAGACACGGCCCAGACUCCUACGGGAGGCAGCAGUAGGGAAUCUUCCGCAAUGGACGAAAGUCUGACGGAGCAACGCCGCGUGAGUGAUGAAGGCUUUCGGGUCGUAAAACUCUGUUGUUAGGGAAGAACAAGUGCUAGUUGAAUAAGCUGGCACCUUGACGGUACCUAACCAGAAAGCCACGGCUAACUACGUGCCAGCAGCCGCAGUAA